rnacentral:misc_RNA from 1 species
GAUGAAGAACGUAGCGAAAUGCGAUACGUAAUGUGAAUUGCAGAAUUCAGUGAAUCAUCGAAUCUUUGAACGCAUAUUGCGCUCUUUGGUAUUCCGAAGAGCAUGCUUGUUUGAGUAUCAGUAAACACCUCAACCUCUUCUUGAUUUUUCAAAAGGAGGGUGGACUUGAGCUAUCCCAACAACCUUUACCGGUCGGCGGGCGGCUUGAAAUGCAGGUGCAGCUGGACUUUUAUCUGAGCUAAAAGCAUAUCUAUUUAGUCCUCGUCAAACAGGAUUAUUACUUUUGCUGCAGCUAACAUAAAGGAUAAUUGUCCUCUUUGCUGACUGAUGCAGGAUUUUACGACACUUUAUUUGUUGUUCAACUCGAUCUCAAAUCAAGUAAGACUACCCGCUGAACUUAAGCAUAUCAAUAAGCGGAGGA